AUUGAACGCUGGCGGCAGGCCUAACACAUGCAAGUCGAACGGUAACAGGAAGCAGCUUGCUGCUUCGCUGCCGAGAGGGGGGCGGGUGGGUAAUGUCUGGGAAACUGCCUGAUGGGGGGGGAGAACUACUGGAAACGGUAGCUAAUACCGCAUAACGUCGCAAGACCAAAGAGGGGGAGUUUAGGGCCUCUUGCCAUCGGAUGUGCCCAGAUGGGAUUAGCUAGUAGUUGGGGUAACGGCUCACCUAGGCGACGAUCCCUAGCUGGUCUGAGAGGAUGACCAGCCACACUGGAACUGAGACACGGUCCAGACUCCUACGGGAGGCAGCAGUGGGGAAUAUUGCACAAUGGGCGAAAGCCUGAUGCAGCCAUGCCGCGUGUAUGAAGAAGGCCUUCGGGUUGUAAAGUACUUUCAGCGGGGAGGAAGGGAAGCACGUUAAUACCUUUGCUCAUUGACGUUACCCGCAGAAGAAGCACCGGCUAACUCCGUG
rnacentral:rRNA from 1 species